UGACCGCGUAGAUGUCGUCAG
rnacentral:misc_RNA from 1 species